rnacentral:rRNA from 1 species
GACGAACGCUGGCGGCGUGCUUAACACAUGCAAGUCGAACGGAAAGGCCCUGCUUUUGUGGGGUGCUCGAGUGGCGAACGGGUGAGUAACACGUGAGUAACCUGCCCUUGACUGUGGGAUAACUUCAGGAAACUGGGGCUAAUACCGGAUAGGAGCUCCUGCUGCAUGGGGGGGGUUGGAAAGUUUCGGCGGUUGGGGAUGGACUCGCGGCUUAUCAGCUUGUUGGUGGGGGAGUGGCUUACCAAGGCUUUGACGGGUAGCCGGCCUGAGAGGGUGACCGGCCACAUUGGGACUGAGAUACGGCCCAGACUCCUACGGGAGGCAGCAGUGGGGACUAUUGCACAAUGGGCGGAAGCCUGAUGCAGCAACGCCGCGUGCGGGAUGACGGCCUUCGGGUUGUAAACCGCUUUCGCCUGUGACGAAGCGUGAGUGACGGUAAUGGGUAAAGAAGCACCGGCUAACUACGUG